rnacentral:rRNA from 1 species
AUUGAACGCUGGCGGCAUGCUUUACACAUGCAAGUCGAACGGUAGCAGGGUGCUUGCACCGCUGACGAGUGGCGAACGGGUGAGUAAUGCGUCGGAACGUACCGAGGAGUGGGGGAUAACGCAGCGAAAGUUGUGCUAAUACCGCAUACGUACUGAGGUAGAAAGGGGGGGACCUUCGGGCCUCACGCUAUUCGAGCGGCCGACGUCUGAUUAGCGAGUAGGUGAGGUAAAGGCUCACCUAGGCGACGAUCAGUAGCGGGUCUGAGAGGAUGACCCGCCACACUGGGACUGGGACACGGCCCCGACUCCUACGGGAGGCAGCAGUGGGGAAUUUUGGACAAUGGGCGAAAGCCUGAUCCAGCCAUGCCGCGUGUCUGAAGAAGGCCUUCGGGUUGUAAAGGACUUUUGUCGGGGAGGAAAUCCCCAGCGUUAAUACCGCUGGGGGAUGACAGUACCUGAAGAAUAAGCACCGGCUAACUACGUGCCAGCCGCCGCAGUAACAC